rnacentral:rRNA from 1 species
AUUGAACGCUGGCGGCAGGCCUAACACAUGCAAGUCGAACGAGUGGCGGACGGGUGAGUAAUGUCUGGGAAACUGCCUGCUGGAGGGGGUUAACUACUGGAAACGGUAGCUAAUACCGCAUACCAUCGGAUGUGCCCUGAUGGGAUGAGCUAGUAGGUGGGGUAAAGGCUCACGUAGGCGACGAUCCCCAGCUGGUCUGAGAGGAGGACCAGGCAAGCUGGAAAUGAGAAACGGUCCAAACUCGGACGGGAGGCAGCAGUGGGGAAUAGUGGACAAGGGGCGCAAGCCUGAUGCAGCAAUGGCGAGUGUGUGAAGAAGGCCUUCGGGUUGUAAAGUACUUUUAGCGAGGAGGCGGUACCCGCAGAGAAAGCACCGGCUAACUCCGUGCCAGCAGCCGCGGUAAUUC